UACAGAGGGGGCAAGCGUUGUUCGGAAUUACUGGGCGUAAAGGGCGCGUAGGCGGCCUACUAAGUCGAACGUGAAAUCCCUGGGCUCAACCCAGGAACUGCGUCCGAUACUGGGAGGCUUGAAUCCGGGAGAGGGAUGCGGAAUUCCAGGUGUAGCGGUGAAAUGCGUAGAUAUCUGGAGGAACACCGGUGGCGAAGGCGGCAUCCUGGACCGGCAUUGACGCUGAGGCGCGAAAGCUAGGGGAGCAAACGGG
rnacentral:rRNA from 1 species